GGGAAAUAGUAUGCCAGGGAGUCUGUCCCAUUCUUGUUAAGGAAUGCUAGAUUUCUGCACAUCUUGUUCAGGUUCCUGUGUCUCUUGAAUUUAGCAUCGUCAAGAAGGGCCUGAUUAUAUUCCCUGUUCACUUGCCUCUUGAGACUUGACAGUACAGAGCCCAGAACUUAGUGACACUCUCAUCUCCCUGAGGUUGAUGGAAAACACUUGAGAUUAAACUGUCUGUCCAAGCUCAUAUACCUAGUCAGAACCAAACCUAAAUGUGACAUUCAGUUCAAGACAUCACUAUCAGCAUAAAUGGUAUCCCCAAAACAAAGAUUUAAAAGAAUAGUAAAAAUAAGGGGAGAUGUGAUCAAAAGAAAUGUUUAAAGUUUCUUUCCUUACCUGCCAUGGUCGGAGGGAGAGUAUCAGCAAUCCACCCUACAAUGUAGGAAGAGAUUUGGUUGUCCUUGUCUGAUCAGCUGACCUAAAUGGCAAGUGUGUCUGGUAUCAGACAGCACUUACUGGUCACUGGUCACAGGUGACCUGUGAUGGUCCAAAUUUGUUUACAGGCAUCUCCAUGGAUACUCCAAGUACAUACCAGGUGGUGGUAGGUUUGGAGGGACAAUGAUGUCAUAAACGGGGCAGCAGCCAAUGGGAAGGUUGGAUUCUGAGCUAAAAGAUGGUAUUGGUUGGAUAGGAUACCAGGAGACCAAUAGUAGCCAUGGAGGCUGAGGUGUGGGCUAGUGAAAGGAGGCAAUCCUGGCAUGGAAGUCCCCCUUCCCAUGAGGUUUACUCCAGAGUAUUGGCAGAGCUUCUUAUAAGGUUCCAUGUUGAAGCUGUGUCUACUGUUUCUUUGAGCCAUGGAGCUUGUGGAAAUGCCAGGAAUUCUGAAGAUUGAGGAUGGGAGCAGUUAAUGACUUGCCACCAUCAACAGGUGGUGUUAUCAUCUGGUAAUCCAGGGUGCAGGAGUAGCAGAGUUCUGUUCUGCAGCUGAGGGAGUCUCUGGCUUGAGUUGUGAUUCCCAGGGAAGUCUCCCUUUGCACCACUGAAAAAGAGUCAAGGAAGAAGUCAGUCCCUGGCUUGGAGCUGGAGGCAAGGCCAGGAAUUCUGAAGGACUGUGAAUAAGGGCAGUUAAUGACCUGUCCCCAUCAACAGGUGGUAUCUUCAUCCGGGUAUCCUGGGUUCAGGCAUUUCAGAAGUCAGGACUCUGCAGCAGACAGAGUGUCUGACCGGAAGCUAUCUAUCCAAGGGCCCUCUCCAUUUCCACCACUGGAAAAGAGUCAAGGAAGGAGUCAGUGCCUGACAUUUAUCACUGUGGGCCAUGUCUUCACAGACUCUUCAGGGCAGUGUCUCACAAACAGGAAGGGUUAUAGUUGCCUCCCACUCAUCUGUCUCUGCAUGUGGUGCUUACCAUUUACCUGUUGUGAUCUAAAGAUCUGAAAGGAAAAAAAACUCCAUGGAUGUGAUUCCCCCUCUUCAUGGCAAU